rnacentral:tRNA from 1 species
GGGCGCAUAGCUCAGCGGUAGAGCACUACCUUGACAUGGUAGGGGUCCGUGGUUCGAUCCCACGUGCGCCCACCA